rnacentral:sRNA from 1 species
GUCAUAGGUCGCAAGUUGGAUGCAGGCGAGUCGGAACGGUCGCUCUGCACUGGCUCGCGCCUUGU